GAGACAGCAGUAGCCGCGGGAAUACGUAGGUGGCAAGCGUUGUCCGGAAUUAUUGGGCGUAAAGCGCGCGCAGGUGGUUUAAUAAGUCUGAUGUGAAAGCCCACGGCUCAACCGUGGAGGGUCAUUGGAAACUGUUAAACUUGAGUGCAGGAGAGGGAAGUGGAAUUCCUAGUGUAGCGGUGAAAUGCGUAGAGAUUAGGAGGAACACCAGUGGCGAAGGCGGCUUUUUGGCCUGUAACUGACACUGAGGCGCGAAAGCGUGGGGAGCAAACAGGAUUAGAUACCCCAGUAGUCCCUGUCUCUUAUAC
rnacentral:rRNA from 1 species